rnacentral:lncRNA from 12 species
AUGGGCUGCGUGUGUCCACGGUCCAGCCGUGUGGCCCUGAGGGAGCCUCUGCUUGGGGCGCCACAGGCAUGGAUGUGGGCCCUGUCCUGUUUGGGGCGCCCUGUGGGGUCUGCUGGCUUUUGUGUGGCCUGGCCCCAUGUGGGGGCCAGUGUCCCUGGAGGGUGGACAUCUGAGCCCGGCUGUGUGUGUCCUCUGCCUUUGUGUGGGCUUGUGUCUCUGCACGGAUUUAAUGACCCAAGAGCCCACUUUCAGGCAGGGAUUACGGACAGCUGGGGGGCGGGGUGGAGUCAAGACACUUGUCAUACCAGUGAAUGGGGGCAGAAACAAUUCCAACAAUACAAAGGAAAUGAACUCUUGAGCAGGCCUAACAUGACAUUUGGGGUCUCACUACAAUACACCCUGGGAAGCCUGAAAAAAAACACCAAAAACAACACAGGGUUGGGCCAGCCGAGAGUGGCUCCCGGGCUCCCACCCCAGGCUCCAGGGAAGACAAACGGUUUCCCUCUUCCCAGAGCUGGGGUGGCAUCUGAGAGCACAGCAGAGGGGCAGGGGGUCCUGGCCGGAGGCCCCACGCGGCCCCCACCAGCAAGGGGCGGGAGGCACCGCCACCAGUCAUCCCGGGGACCUGAUCCGAUCAGUGUCCUUCCGCCCACGCGCCGCUACCCUCCUGCAUGUGCGAGCAUGUACUCGGGAAGGCCCCCGAUAGCCAAGGGCCCCAGCAGAGGUGGUGUGACCCACAGAGGGGGACGGAAGGUUCUGGAAGGAGCAGCAUGGCCAGCGUGGCCUCCCCGGGGGCUGCAGUCUCCACCCCAGGCUGCCCCUGCCUCGCCUUCUCUCCCUCGUGGACUCCUUCCUUCCCUUCUCUGCACCUCUCCCCAGCCUGCACCUGGUGACACGACUGGCCCUUUUCCAGGGGUGAGGGGAACCCGCGGGGGCCCCUUCCUGGAAGCCCACCUGCAGGCCGGCUUGCUGGGAAGGGGCCUGCUCCUUGGCGGCCCCCACAGCCCCGAGCCACUUCCUGGAAGUGGUCACUGUGGAUAUUCUGCUCCUUGUCAGCACUGUGCUUGCAUAAAGCAGACAGCGAGCCCCUUGUCCUCCCAGGAGCCCGUGCUCCAUCAUCGAACACCUGGCCGGACACAGGCGGGCAGCCGGGGCCUCGGGGGGCGGCGUGGGCCUGGGGCUGGACCGGUAAACAGACAUGGGCGCCAAGCGCGGGGGGCGGGGGGCUGUCCCUGCUCCUGCCCGGAGCUUGGGCUUGCUAGCACGUGUCAAGGCCCAUUGGACACCUGUCCCUGGGGCCCCAGGGGCUGCUGUGGGGGCAUAGCCGAGAGCUGGAGGGGGCGCUGGGCAGCCCCCUGGGGGUCCCACACUCUGCUGGGGGGAUUGGAGGCUCGGGGUGGGGGGAAGGCCCAAGGAGGGGCGAGGGCGAUGGGGCCAGAGGCCGACAAAGCAUUCACCUGA